UACGUAGGAUGCGAGCGUUGUCCGGAAUUAUUGGGCGUAAAGCGAACGUAGGCGGCCAUCUAAGUUUGGUCUUAAAGACCGGGGCUCAACCCCGGGAAUGGACUGAAGACUGGGUGGCUGGAGCGUGUUAGAGGAAAGUGGAAUUCCAGGUGUAGCGGUGAAAUGCGUAGAUAUCGGGAGGAACACCAGUGGCGAAGGCGGUUGCCUGGAGCUUUGCUGACGCUGAUGCGCGAAAGCUAGGGGAGCAAACAGG
rnacentral:rRNA from 1 species